CAAUGGGGGAACCCUGNAUGCAGCGACGCCGCGNUGAAGGAAGAAGUAUCUCGUGCNAAANAAACUUCUNGAAACAGGGNAAGAUAGUGACGGUACCUGACUCCCCAAGCCCCGGCUAACUACGUGCCAGCAGCCGCGGUAAUACGUAGGGGGCAAGCGUUAUCCGGAUUUACUGGGUGUAAAGGGAGCGUAGACGGACUGGCAAGUCUGAUGUGAAAGGCGGGGGCUCAACCCCUGGACUGCAUUGGAAACUGUUAGUCUUGAGUGCCGGAGAGGUAAGCGGAAUUCCUAGUGUAGCGGUGAAAUGCGUAGAUAUUAGGAGGAACACCAGUGGCGAAGGCGGCUUACUGGACGGUAACUGACGUUGAGGCUCGAAAGUGUGGGGAGCAAACAGGAUUAGAUACCCUGGUAGUCCAAGGGCGAAUUC
rnacentral:rRNA from 1 species